CCUGGUUGAUUCUGCCAGUAGUCAUAUGCUUGUCUCAAAGAUUAAGCCAUGCAUGUCUAAGUAUAAGCAAUCUAUACGGUGAAACUGCGAAUGGCUCAUUAAAUCAGUUAUCGUUUAUUUGAUAGUACCUUACUACUUGGAUAACCGUGGUAAUUCUAGAGCUAAUACAUGCUAAAAACCUCGACUUCGGAAGGGGUGUAUUUAUUAGAUAAAAAACCAAUGCCCUUCGGGGCUCCUUGGUGAUUCAUAAUAACUUAACGAAUCGCAUGGCCUUGUGCCGGCGAUGGUUCAUUCAAAUUUCUGCCCUAUCAACUUUCGAUGGUAGGAUAGUGGCCUACCAUGGUUUCAACGGGUAACGGGGAAUUAGGGUUCUAUUCCGGAGAGGGAGCCUGAGAAACGGCUGCCACAUCCAAGGAAGGCAGCAGGCGCGCAAAUUACCCAAUCCCGACACGGGGAGGUAGUGACAAUAAAUACUGAUACAGGGCUCUUUUGGGUCUUGUAAUUGGAAUGAGUACAAUUUAAAUCCCUUAACGAGGAACAAUUGGAGGGCAAGUCUGGUGCCAGCAGCCGCGGUAAUUCCAGCUCCAAUAGCGUAUAUUAAAGUUGUUGCAGUUAAAAAGCUCGUAGUUGAACCUUGAGCCUGGCUGGCCGGUCCGCCUCACCGCGUGCACUGGUCCGGCCGGGUUUUUCCUUCUGGGGAGCCGCAUGCCCUUCACUGGGUGUGUCGGGGAACCAGGACUUUUACUUUGAAAAAAUUAGAGUGUUCAAAGCAGGCCUAUGCUCGAAUACAUUAGCAUGGAAUAAUAGAAUAGGACGUGUGGUUCUAUUUUGUUGGUUUCUAGGACCGCCGUAAUGAUUAAUAGGGAUAGUCGGGGGCAUCAGUAUUCAAUUGUCAGAGGUGAAAUUCUUGGAUUUAUUGAAGACUAACUACUGCGAAAGCAUUUGCCAAGGAUGUUUUCAUUAAUCAGUGAACGAAAGUUAGGGGAUCGAAGACGAUCAGAUACCGUCGUAGUCUUAACCAUAAACUAUGCCGACUAGGGAUCGGGCGAUGUUAUUUUUUUGACUCGCUCGGCACCUUACGAGAAAUCAAAGUCUUUGGGUUCUG
rnacentral:rRNA from 1 species